AUGUCAGGCUUCAUUAGCAUAGAUUGUGGACUGCCGGCAGAAAAUUUAAGCUAUAUUGAAAGGACAACCGGCAUCAACUAUACUUCAGAUGCCAACUUCAUUGACACUGGUGAAAUUAAGUUGGUACAUCCUGAAUACAGAGAUACAAAGCAGCAGCCAUACGAGUCUCUAAGGUUGUUUCCUGAAGGGACAAGGAACUGCUACAAAAUAAACGUUACAAGUUGCACCAAGUAUUUGAUCCGAGCAUGUUUCUUUUAUGGGAACUAUGAUGGUCAAGAUAAAUCACCUGAAUUUGAACUACAUUUUGGUGCUAAUUUGUGGGAUUCAGUGAGUUUUGAUUAUGCAUCCACAGACAUAAACAAGGAGCUUAUACAUUUUGUACCUGAUGGAGUCUCAGAUGUACAAGUUUGUCUGGUGAACACUGGCUCCGGGGUUCCAUUUAUAUCAGGGAUAGAGCUGAGGCCUUUAAAUAAUGAAUCUUAUGAAGCAGAAGUGGGAUCGUUGGCGCUUGAAUGGCGAUAUGACACAGGUCUAAUUGCUAAUAAGAGAGGAUACAGGUAUCCAGAGGAUAUUCAUGAUCGCUUCUGGUAUUUCUACGAAAGCCUUGACGAUUGGGAACAAUUAAAUACUUCAUCCACAAUCGACCCUCUCAAUCAGAACAUAGUCGAAUUACCAUCUAUUGUUAUGAGUACUGCUGUCAAGCCAAAAAAUGUAAAUGAGUCCUUGAAUUUUUCUUGGCAGCCUACUGAGCAAAAUGCAGAAUAUCAUAUAUUCAUGCAUUUCGCAGAAGUUGAAAAGCUCCAACCAAACCAAUCUAGAUGGCUAUACAUUACUAAAAAUGGGAAGAUGUAUAAUGACCCAUUUGAAUUGGGGUACAUGUACCCAUCUACUAGUUACAGAAGUAAAGCAAUGAGUGGAGGACAAAACUUUUCAAUCUUCAAGGUCGAGAACUCCACCCUUCCACCCAUCCUCAAUGCUUUUGAGCUUUAUAAGGUGAAAAAAUUCAUAGAACCGGUUACAAGUCAAGGAGAUGUUGUUGCAAUCACACAACUCAAGUCAUUUUAUAAAAUCAGAAGAAACUGGCAAGGAGAUCCUUGUGCCCCCCAAGUUUACUCAUGGCAAGGUCUGAACUGUAGCUAUCUGAAAAGUGAUCAGGCCCUAAGAAUCAUAUCCUUGAACUUGUCCUCAAGUGGACUAACAGGGGAGAUUGAUCUUUCUAUGUCCGAUCUUACAAUGCUACAGACUUUGGAUUUGUCGAAUAACAACUUAACCGGACCUGUUCCAGAAUUUUUAUCUCAACUGUCAAAUUUAAAAAACUUGGAGAACAACAAUCUCAAAGGCUUGGUUCCAGUUGGACUGAUUGAAAGAAUGAAUGAUGGUUCACUAACAUUAAGUUUGUGCCAAAAUCCAAAUGUAUCUGGACUUGUUUCUUGCACGAAGAUGGAAAAGAAGAAGCCAAAGUUCUUAACUCCGGUAGUUCUGUCAAUUGCUGGAGUGUCAAUCUUCUUAUUAACUAUAACAGCUAUCUUGUGGGGUUUAAGAAGGAAAAAGAAACAUGGUAAGACUUCAUAGAUAAUGAAAGGAUGUACAGAUGCAAAAUCCAAAACUGAGUUAGGAUCAUUGGAGUCAACUAAACGACAAUUUACGCAUUCUGAGAUCCUGAAAUUCACCAACAACUUGAAAAGGACUCUUGGGAAAGGUGGAUUUGGAACAGUUUAUCAUGGUUACAUAGACAAAACUCAAGUAGCCAUUAAGAUGCUUUCGCCAUCAUCAGUUCAAGGUUUGCAAGAAUUUCAUGCAGAGGUUAAUCUUCUGAUGAGAGUUCAUCACACAAACUUGACCAGCCUUGUUGGAUAUUGCAAUGAGGAAUCCAAUAUAGGGCUCGUCUACGAGUAUAUGGCCAAUGGAAACUUACAAGAACAUCUUUCAGAUGACAGUUCCACUAUUUUGGGUUGGGAAGAUAGACUUCGGAUAGCAGUAGAUGCUGCACAAGGAUUGGAGUAUCUGCAUAAUGGUUGUAAGCCACCUAUAAUUCACAGGGAUGUGAAAUCAGCAAACAUCUUGCUGAGUGAAAAUUUCCAAGCCAAAGUAGCUGAUUUUGGCCUAUCCAGAAUUUUCCAUACAGACCUUGUAACUCAUAUAACAACUGGUAUCGCUGGUACUCCCAGGUACCUUGACCCUGAGUACUACCUAACAAGCAGGUUAAAUGAGAAAAGUGAUGUUUAUAGCUUUGGGAUUGUGCUGUUGGAAAUUAUCACAAGCCGACCUGUUAUAUGGGGAACUGUUGAGAGAAUUCACAUUAGUCACUGGGUUGCUUCCAUGCUUGCACAAGGAGACAUUUACAGUGUUGUUGAGCCAAGACUGGAGAGAAAUUUCAGUCCUAACUGUGUGUGGCAAGUUUUGGAGAUAGCAAUGGCAUGUAUAUCUCCAGACCCCAUCAAAAGGCCAAUGAUGAGUCAGGUAGUGAUGGAACUGAAGGAGUGUUUGGCAAUCGAACUGGCUCGAACAAAGCAGACAAGAAAUGAAACUGAUCUAGGACAUUCCACUGAGAGAUUGUCUCAGAACGAGUCGAUCAGACAAAUCCUCUUUGCGCUGCUGGGUGGUCUUUCUCUUAUACUACUCCUAGUUCAUGCCCAGGGUGAAGAUCAAUCAGGCUUCAUAAGUAUAGAUUGCGGCCGAACUGAAAAUUUCAGCUACACUGAAAAGACAACAGGAAUCAACUACAUUUCCGACACAGGCUUCGUAGACACAGGUGAAAGUAAGCUCGUUUUGCGUUAUGUAAAAGAUAAUUACCAGCAGCCAUACUGGGGUGUUAGGAGCUUUCCUGAAGGAAUCAGGAACUGCUACAAGAUCAAUGUUACAACUGGGGACAAAUAUUUGAUCAGAGUAAGCUUCGUGUAUGGGAACUAUGAUGGCAAAGGUAAGCUACCAACAUUCCUCCUUUAUCUGGGAACAAACUUGUGGGAUUCAGUGAAGGUGAAGAACGAAUCCUAUGUCAUAAACAAGGAGCUCAUCCAUGUCGCUCCCCGAAAUUAUAUUCAUGUUUGUCUGAUGAAUAAUGGCUCCGGAGUUCCGUUUAUAUCAGCAAUAGAAUUAAGGCCGUUGAACGUUACAUCUUAUCCAACACAAACUGGGUCCUUGGCACUCAACUGGAGGCUUGACAUUGGACAAACAGGACCUGAUUUAAAAUAUUAUAGGUAUCCGAAGGAUAUUCACGAUCGCUUUUGGGAUCCCUUUGAGGAUGUUGACAAUGAGUGGUUUACACUGAAUACUUCAUCCACCGUCGACUUUGACGACCACAAUCUCUACGAACCAGCAUCGGUUGUCAUGAGCACAGCGGCCACAGCAAAAAAUGCAACUGAUCCCUUGAUGUUAUGGUGGGAUCCUCCUGUUGAUGCAAAUGAUACAGAAUAUUAUGUUUACAUGCACUUUGCAGAACUUGAAGUCCAAGCCAACGGGUCUAGAUGGCAGUACAUUACUAACAACGGAAAGCCCUACAUGGAGUCAUUCGCUGCUAGUUACUUGUACACGACGACUAUUUACAGCACCAAACCUCAAAGAGGAAGUCAGAACUUCUCAAUCAUCAAGGCUGAGAACUCUACCCUUCCACCCAGUAUCAAUGGACUUGAGAUUUACACACUAAAAGAAUUCCUAGAACUAGAAACAAACCAAGACGACGUUGAAGCAAUCAUAAAAAUCAAGUCAACUUAUGAAAUUACAAAGAAUUGGCAAGGAGAUCCAUGUCUCCCACUAAACUACUCGUGGGAAGGCUUAAAAUGUAGCAAUCCCCAAAGUGACUCCCCAAGAAUCAUUUCCUUGGACUUGUCUUCGAGUGGAUUAACAGGAGUGAUUUCUCCUUCAAUUGAAAAUCUCGCAAUGAUACAAACAUUGGAUUUAUCAAACAACAACCUGACAGGACCAAUUCCAGACUUUUUGUCUCAAUUGCGCGAGUUAAAUAUCCUGAACCUGGAGAAUAACGAGUUCACAGGCUCACUUCCGCUAGGACUCGCUGAAAAAAGAAACAAUGACCUUCUAUCAAUAAGUUUGUGUGGCAACCCAAAUCUAGCCGGAAAUAAACCUUGCAAUACAAAGAAGAAGAAGAAUAACAAGAACAAAAUCAUUAUUCCAAUAAUUGGAGCUAUUGCCGGAAUUUCAGCCUUCAUAUUAGCUGGAGCAGUUUUCUUCUGUUUCUGUAAGAGGAAAAGAAAACAUGUAGUUGCAAUGGAUCCAAAACCCAACCCUGGAUCAGUGGAACUGGAGCAAAAAACCGAAAGUUUACUUACUCAGAGAUCCUCAAGAUCACAAACAACCGACAAAGGGUUCUUGGCAAAGGUGGAUUCGGAACUGUUUAUCAUGGCUAUAUUGAUGACAAAACUCAAGUAGCUGUCAAGCUGCUUUCACAAACAUCAAGUCAAGGACUUCAACAAUUUCAUGCAGAGGUUCAUCUACUUAUGCGAGUUCAUCAUACAAACUUGACUAGCCUCGUUGGAUAUUGUGAUGACGAACUCAACAAAGGGCUUGUGUAUGAGUACAUGGCCAACGGAAACUUACAAGCAUAUCUCUCAGGUUUGGAAACUUCAGAUGUCUUGACUUGGGAAGGAAGACUUCAGAUAGCAACAGAAGCUGCACAAGGAUUGGAGUACCUACACUACGGUUGUAAACCACCUAUGAUCCAUAGAGAUGUGAAAUCAACAAACAUCUUACUCAAUGAAAAGUUCCAAGCCAAACUCUCUGAUUUUGGCCUAUCAAGAAACUUCGCUCCAGGCGAUGGGACUCAUAUAGUUACUGGUGUUGCUGGUACUCCUGGCUACCUUGCCCCUGAGUACCAUCAAUCAAACAGGCUGAAUGAGAAGAGUGAUGUUUAUAGCUUUGGGAUUGUGCUGCUUGAGAUUAUCACUGGGCGACCUGUUUACGCAAGAACGAAUGGUGAGAGAACUCACAUUACUAGAUGGGUUGAACUCAUGCUUCCUCGAGGAGACAUUUACAGCAUCAUCGAUCCAAUGUUGGAGAGAAACUUCAAUGUCAACUCGGCCUGGAAAGCUGUUGAAACAGCAAUGGCAUGUGUAUCUGCAGAGCCCAGUAAGAGGCCAGUCAUGAGCACUGUUGUGAUGGAACUAAAAGAGUGUUUGGCAUCACAGCUUGAUCUGACAAACUUCAACAGCUAUGACACUGAACUAGGAAGUAGUUCCAUAAAUGUGUCUCAAAAUAACUCCAUCAUUAUGAUGCGUCCCUCAGUCAGGUAGUUGUACUGUUGUAGUACAGGUGUUGACAAAAUGAAUGUCUUGCUUGAUUCCUUCAUGGACAAUGUCUUUUAAUCUGUACCAUGUACUGCAAUGUACUGCAAUGUAUAUCAAACACUCUUUUACAACUACUUGAAUCAAAAUUACAAAUUAA